UGCGUCCGGUGGGCCAACGGCUGGAGAUGCGAAGGCAUCGCGCCCCGACGAGGGGGGCUGAGACGAUGCCCAUAUCCGAGCUGACUGGCGGAUUUCUGCUGGUCUUCUUGCUUCUGCGGGACUGAUAUUGAGUCCAUCUUUCAUCAAUGGCGGUAGGCUCCGAAAAAGGCGGCGGAGAGGGCACAGCCACGAUGGACCAAAGCCGGUGUUGCUUAAGCGGGGGUGGCAGACCCAGAUCCAGUGGUCCGGGCGAGGACCAGCCCUCGAGGUCAGCACCCCGCUGCAGGAUUUGCGGGGGCGUCCCCCACUCCACUCUAGCGCUGCCGGGGAGCGGGGGGAGGUAGGCGCGUCGGACGAACCAGGGGAUCCAGAUCUCCCCCCGGCCGGUGGGGAGGCGGGAUCUCGGGGAGACGUUGGAGCCGGCAUGGGCGGCCGCGACAUCCCAGACGAGGUGGCGGCUCGGAGGGAGGUGGCCGCCGCCGCAGACCAGGGCUUUACUUCGUGUACAGCGCCGGCCAGGGGAAUCCGCUGCUCGAGGUGCUGCCGCCAUCGGAUUCCUUCAGUCCCAUUGAUCUGCUGAACCAGAGGGCUAUGGCUAUGUGGUGGCCAGCAUCAGCCGCGUCAUAACCGAUGGCAUUCUGAAGUAUCAGCUCCUUCGCUACUCGUCCAAGACCAAGGCUUGGAGCACCAAGUUGGCUCCUAUGGAAUGCGACUGCGAAGACGAUGACCUAACUAAUCUGCUGAACCAUAGGACACACAAGGUAAUCGCGGUGGGAAGCUCGUUGGGCUGGGUUGAUCUUUGGUGGGGUAUUCUGGUGUGCGAUGUGCUCAACGAGGAGGAUCCUUUGAUUCGUUUCAUUGAUCUGCCUGGUCCAAUGCCCAGCAACGAGCAUUGGUUCGGAACAUCGUCCGCUGGGGCAUGCCGAGACGUCAUCUGCAACGGAGAUUUAAUCAAGUUUGUUGAAGUUGAGUACCAUCGAGGUGACUAUGCUGAAGGCUCAGAUGAUGGUGCCAUUGAUUAUGGUUGGAAGGCCACAGCAUGGCAUAAGAUUCUUUCAUCACACAAUUUUGCUGAUUGGCAGCACAGCUUCACUGUAGACACUUAUGACAUUACAGUAACCGACGAUGAGAGAUGCUCUUACUUGUUGCCUGAACUGUGAACUGACAAUGCCAAGAAGCUAUCCCUGGACAAGUUUAUGUGCUCUCUUUCCAACCUGAGCCUGGACGAUGAUGUAUUUUACAUGAAGUCCACCCCGAAUCCUGCAAGCCCAGUGGCGUGGCUAGCUGCCGUAAAUGUCAGAGAGAAUCUACUACAACUUAUCCCUUUUACUGCUGAAAUUUCUCACUGCGAGCCAACCUAUCGUCCUUGUGUUUUCUCCAAGUACCUCAAUAAUACUCCAGGACAACACAUGGCUGUGGUGUAAGGAUCCGGGGAGGUAAUUUAUAUAUAUUUCUAGAUUACAGAACAAUCACUGUUUGAUAUUUGCUUUCUCCGGGUAUCAGCUGGCACGUUCCGAUGCAGGAUCGCUAAUCGGGUCACUAUUUUUUUUUUACCGUUGUAUAGGUUGCUUAAUCCCACAAAAGGGCACCCACCAUCAGAGCUAUCGCCUCUAAGUGUUGAGAAAUGGCUUAAAGAACAUGGUCAUUGAUGAGUUUAAUUCCGGGGAUCCUAUCUGCAGUCCUGCACGGUAGCCUUAGUUCUAAUAUUAGCACAUAGAGACCCAUGUGCAAGCGACACUAAUCAGUUUUAUGAUCUUUCAGAAAGUCUCUAUCCCAAACAGGAGUGUUUGCCAUUGGAUCAUGGCCUGACCACUCGCACAAUUAACACAAUUAUUAUACACAUUUACCUGUGAAAAUUCACAUUUUAGCAUGAUGUGAUUCAUGUUGCAUAACCUGUAUCUGCGAAGUUAGAAAUUUAUACUACAUGUUUUAUUUAUUUGCGAGGAAUACUGCAUGACUUAUUGCAGAGGGCUAUACACUACAACUUGAGAGGCCAAAAUUCUUGGAUUGCUCCUCUGUCAUGACAACUUAAACAUAUUCAAGAUGUUGAUGAUAACUUCAAGGUUGUAAAGGUAAAGCUGAGCAAGGAAGAUCUAAUAGAAAUCUCGGCUGCUGUCCCUGCUGGCGACGUGGCUGGGUCGAGGGUCAUGGGAAUCUUGGAGCCUUAUUCUUGGAGGAUUGCAAACACUCCACCUCAAAAGUAGCCAUUUUACAUCAUCACUUGCAAAUCCAAGAGCAUCUCACCGUGUUAUGCUGCAUUUGUUUCGACCUUUCCGGUUACAUACAUUUGAGGGGGGAAAUGUGAAAGAAACAAGCUCGUCCAUACUCAAGAACAGGGGAACAUAGUACCUAAACAUACUCAUAGUUCUCUGUCUACGUAUCAAUUACUACACAUGAUAAAAAAAAGAGUUGAAUUCAAGUUGUGGUUUGCUGGGUAUCAUUCAUUCAAAAAUGGUAUUGCUGUAAUAUUUCCACACAUGAUUGAAUGAGAUUACUGACAGAAUCGACAUGCAACUUCCUGUAGUCACACCAAAGUCUGGAUAUGUAUGUUCAACCUCACAGUAGUGCCACUAAAAAUAUUUUACUGCAUGUGCUACUUUUGGCUCCAGGUUUCUAGUUCUUUUUACCACGCACCCUUGUGCUACCCCGUUACUUUCCAUUUACUGUUCAUCUGUUGCUACUUCGUUACUUUCCAUUUACUGUUCAUAUAUAUCCCCAGCUGGUUUCUAAUUCAUAUCUGCCACGAUAUCUUUUACAGGUUAACCUGUGCUGAUCUGCAACUGCUGAACUUUACAGGCAUGCAAGCAACGUAGAACGACAAAUUGCAAUGGACAAGUAGGGCUGCACGGGCGCCCAUGGUGUCCCUUUCAGGAGGAACCUUGGGGGUAGCUGACCAAUUCCUAAUGGAUCUCAAGGCUUGCUGUUGCUCGUGCACGCACUUCCGAGCAUCAUUGGGGAUCGUGCUCAGCAGCGGCCGGGCCGGCGAUGAUGCACUGGGGAUGUGUGCCCACCAAGAACAUAUGUGCCCUCCUCCCACAUGUUUGAGGGAGCCUUUGGGUUCCUGGACCGCCUCCCCGAAUCCUGAUGUUGCUGCUGAAAUCCCUGGACCAAAACCUUGAUGCACUUGAAAGCAAGGCAUCCGCCGCCCACGCAGUACUGAAGCAGUCCAUGAUUAUUUGAUGAUUGAUUGGUUGCCUGUGCUUAUGCUGUUCUCUGAUUAAACUAUGAAUCUGCAAUGCAAAAUGGCUCUGCAACAUGGUACAGUACCACUCUUUGGCGCUUCGCAUCUGCUGAUACAUUUGCAGGAAAGCUGUUGUUUAUCUGGAACCGGCUCCUCUACCGUGCCCUAUGAUAUCAUCACUGUUGCCAGGAGCCAGCUCUUGGACUCUUCUGAGGCAUGCCGAACGAACCGUCUGGCCAGAAGAAGAUGAAGACAUUGUUUACUAAUUGCACUGGGAGUAAAAACGAGAAGAUGUGAUGAGGGCGACAGUGCCAGUGUGGGACACAUGAAGAUGAUGCUUGUCAACGCACGGCAAUAAAGAAGCUCAUCUGGUCUUUUUCAUUCUUUCUCAAACUAUGUGCUCGAUCAAUUCCAGGGAUUGCACAUGCAUGCAUAUCGCCGGCCAGCCAGCCAGCCAUGGUCCCAGGGAUCAGGCUCGGACUCCCAUAUGGCCAUAUGCUUGAGCUAGCAUGACACUAUCUCAGAUGAAUGAUGAUCAUCAUUGUGCAUGCAUGCAUGCAAGCAGAUGCAGCGAAUACAUGCAUGCACUCUUCUUACCACAUCCAACCAGAGUGCUCCCACCCCGACCCAUCUUCUCCUCUCCCUUGUUGACUAGAACUACCAUUGGAUUUGGUGUUGGAAUAGAACACAUGUUCAAUCAAAGUAUAAAAAAUAUAUCCGCAAAAAAGUAUAUAAAAUAUAAAGACACCACAAGGUAACAAAAUUAAACUAGACGAAGCUGAUAGCAUAGACAUGGGAUCAUGAGAUGUGGUUAGAGUGGCUGUUAGUGAUUGUUCACCAUGGCGGGGUCUUUUUUCUUUAUUAUGUUUUUUUAUUUUCUUUUUUGGCUAUGUGUAUCCUUGAUGCUUUUGGACAUUUUGUUGGUACAGA